rnacentral:rRNA from 1 species
CUACUCUUGACAUCCACGGAAUUGUGCGGAGAUGCGCAAGUGCCUUCGGGAACCGUGAGACAGGUGCUGCAUGGCUGUCGUCAGCUCGUGUUGCGAAAUGUUGGGUUAAGUCCCGCAACGAGCGCAACCCUUGUCCUUUGUUGCCAGCGCGUAGAGGCGGGAACUCAAAGGAGACUGCCGGUGAUAAACCGGAGGAAGGUGGGGACGACGUCAAGUCAUCAUGGCCCUUACGAGUAGGGCUACACACGUGCUACAAUGGCGUAUACAAAGGGAUGCGAACCUGCGAGGGAAAGCGGAACUCAGAAAGUACGUCGUAGUCCGGAUUGGAGUCUGCAACUCGACUCCAUGAAGUCGGAAUCGCUAGUAAUCGUAGAUCAGAAUGCUACGGUGAAUACGUUCCC